rnacentral:lncRNA from 1 species
AUCAUAUCACUUAUAUGUGGUAACUGAAACAGCUAACUCAGAAACAGCAUAGAAUAAUGGUUGCCUAGGGCUGCAGGGAGGAAGAAUUGAAGAGUUGUCCAAUUGGUAUAGAGUUUCUGUUUUUGAAGAUGAAAUGGUUAAGAGGGUAAAUUUUUUUUUCAUCAUAUUUUUUAAUAGCAGUCAUUUUAGCUAAAAUAGAGGGAUAUUUGGUGUUUUGUAAUUGGACAAUGUUCAUGUUCUGUCUUAUUCAGACAUAAUGAUGCUGGUCUUUGUCUUACUUCGUCAUGAUCUCGGAGUUGCCUUGUCUGAUGUUGAUUUUCUGUGAAGUUGUUUACGUUCAGCAGGAGAGGAAGAAACACCUAACUGUGAGCGCCUGGCCAGCUGUAGCAGCACUAAGGAAGAUCUACUUCAUAGUACCAAGCCAGCUCCUGGAUGCCAGGGUCUGCUUUCCUCUUUCUCAUAUAUGACUUUAUGAUUUUCAAAGAGACUGAGACUUGGGGCAGGGACAUUUGACCCCCAUCUAAGUCAAACGGAGGAAGCAGCGACUACUUGUCCUUGGAAACACUUAAGUGGGCAGCCUGUAGGGAUGGAGGAAGAGUGGUACCUUCCCUUACUCCCACCACAGGCUCUGAACCUCUUAAGGUACAUGAACCGUGAACUUCCAGAAGUUCAAGCUGGAUUUAGAAAAGGCAGAGGAACCAGAGAUCAAAUUGCCAACAUCCGCUGGUUCACUGAUAAAGCAAGAGAAUUCCAGAAAAACAUCUACUUCUGCUUUAUUGACUAUGCCAAAACCUUUGUACGGAUCACAACAAACUGGAAAAUUCUUCAAGAGAUGGGAAUACCAGACCACUUGACCUGCCUCCUGAGAAAUCUGUUUGCAGGUCAAGAAGCAACAGUUAGAACUGGACAUGGAACUACACACUGGUUCCAAAUCAGGAAAGCAGUACGUCAAGGCUGUAUAUUGUCACCCUGUUUAUUUAACUUCUAUGCAGAGUACAUCAUGAGAAAUGCUGGGUUGGAACUGAACUGUAUAAUUUGAAUCUUUUCAAGAAGUGUUAUUAAAAUUAUUCAUUGUUAACAAUCAUAGAUAUUUACAUUCUGGAAAAAUGGUGGAGGGGAGAAUUAGGGUUAAUCUCCUAGACAAUUUGUUCAGUUCAGUCGCUUGGUCGUGUCCAACUCUUUGCGACCCCAUGAAUCGCAGCAUGCCAGGCCUCCCUGUCCAUCACAAACUCCCGGAAUCUACUCAAACUCAUAUCCAUCGAGUCAGUGAUGCCAUCCAGCCGUCUCAUCCUCUGUCGUCCCCUUCUCCUCCUGCCCCCAAGCCCUCCCAGCAUCAGGGUCUUUUCCAAUGAGUCAACUCCUUGCAUGAGGUGGCCAAAGUACUGGAGUUUCAGCUUUAGCAUUAGUCCUUCCAAUGAACACCCAGGACUGAUCUCCUUUCGGAUGGACUGGUUGGACCUCUUUGCAGUCCAAGGGACUCUCAAGAGUCUUCUCCAGCACCACAUUUCAAAAGCAUCAAUUCUUCGGCGCUCAGCUUUCUUCACAGUCCAACUCUCUCAUCCAUACAUGACCAAUCACCAUCUGCAGUGAUUUUGGAGCCCAAAAAAAUAAAAAAAUAAAGUCAGCCA